rnacentral:rRNA from 1 species
UACGUAGGGUGCAAGCGUUGUCCGGAAUUAUUGGGCGUAAAGAGCUCGUAGGCGGUCUGUCGCGUCGGAUGUGAAAACCCAGGGCUCAACCCUGGGCCUGCAUUCGAUACGGGCAGACUAGAGUUCGGUAGGGGAGACUGGAAUUCCUGGUGUAGCGGUGAAAUGCGCAGAUAUCAGGAGGAACACCGGUGGCGAAGGCGGGUCUCUGGGCCUUACCUGACGCUCAGGCGCGAAAGCUAGGGGAGCGAACUGG